GUCGAGCGAACUGAUUAGAAGCUUGCUUCUAUGACGUUAGCGGCGGACGGGUGAGUAACACGUGGGCAACCUGCCUGUAAGACUGGGAUAACUUCGGGAAACCGAAGCUAAUACCGGAUAGGAUCUUCUCCUUCAUGGGAGAUGAUUGAAAGAUGGUUUCGGCUAUCACUUACAGAUGGGCCCGCGGUGCAUUAGCUAGUUGGUGAGGUAACGGCUCACCAAGGCAACGAUGCAUAGCCGACCUGAGAGGGUGAUCGGCCACACUGGGACUGAGACACGGCCCAGACUCCUACGGGAGGCAGCAGUAGGGAAUCUUCCGCAAUGGACGAAAGUCUGACGGAGCAACGCCGCGUGAGUGAUGAAGGCUUUCGGGUCGUAAAACUCUGUUGUUAGGGAAGAACAAGUACGAGAGUAACUGCUCGUACCUUGACGGUACCUAACCAGAAAGCCACGGCUAACUACGUGCCAGCAGCCGCGGUAAUACGUAGGUGGCAAGCGUUAUCCGAGAAGUUACUUGGUGCGUACAAGACAUGCGCGCAGGCCGCCUCUUCUUUAAUAGUCUGAUGAUGAUAAGACCCCACAGGCUCCACAAUCCGUGGAGGUGUCAUUGGAGAACUGGGCGUACAAGCUUGAGUGCCAGAAAGAGUAGAGCGGACAUUUUCCACGUGUAGGCGUAGAAUGCGUAGAGAUGUGGAGGAACAACCCGGCAGUGGCGAAAGCGGUCUUUUUGGUCACUGUGUAAACUGACUGCUCAGUGCGCGCAAGCGUGUGGAGCAAACAGGUAUUAGAUACUCGUGGUUGUCCCACGCUCCUAAACGAUGAGUGCUAAGUGUUAGAGGGUUUCCGCCUCUUUAGUGCUGCAGCUAACCGCAUUAAGCACUCCUCCUGGGGAGUACKGUCGCACGACUGAAACUCAAAKGAAUAGACAGGGGGCCCGCACAAGCAGGUGGACGCAUGUGGUUCUAUUCGAAAGCAACGCGCAAGAACCUUAUCCAGGUCUUGACAUCCGUCUGAACAACUCCGAGAGAUAGAGCGUUCCCCUUCGGGGGACAGAGUGACAGGUGGUGCAUGGUUGUUGUCAGCUCGUGUCAUGAGAUGUUGGGUUAAGUCCCGCAACGAGCGCAACCCUUGAUCUUAGUUGCCAGCAUUCAGUUGGGCACUCUCAGGUGACCGCCGGUGACAAACCGGAGGAAGGUGGGGAUGACGUCAAAUCAUCAUGCCCCUUAUGACCUGGGCUACACACUUGCUACAAUGGAUGGUACAAAGGGCUGCAAGACCGCGAGGUCAAGCCAAUCCCAUAAAACCAUUCUCAGUUCGGAUUGUAGGCUGCAACUCGCCUACAUGAAGCUGGAAUCGCUAGUAAUCGCGGAUCAGCAUGCCGCGGUGAAUACGUUCCCGGGCCUUGUACACACCGCCCGUCACACCACGAGAGUUUGUAACACCCGAAGUCGGUGGAGUAACCGUAAGGAGCUAG
rnacentral:rRNA from 1 species